AUGGCCGGGGCGGGGUUCGCGCUCGCGCGGUCAAAGCCUCCUCUUGACCAUCUGCUUCCUCCUCGCUUGGUCGCCAUGGCCACCAACCUCGCAAGAUCCAGCCCAUCUCCUCCGCGUCCGCCGAGAGGGCGUUCCGACGGACCCGGUCGGCGCCGUCGCUCGCCGCCGAGUUCGCGGGCGGCCCGCUCAAGCGCUGGUGGGACUGGGGCCUUCAGCUGGCUGCGGCUUCGCCGGCGACCUGGAGAUGAUCGAGGAGGAGGUGGUCGCGCUCGGCCGGGGCACCUGGGCCCACUUCGUCUACAAGGUGCGCUCCGGGGUCUGCCGCCUCGUCGCGUCCGACCAGCCGCUGCUCACCACACAGUGCCUCAGGGGCGCCUCGCUGCCCCCGUUCCGGCGGACGGGCGGUGGUGCCGAGCAGACCGGCGCGGCGGGACGAGCUGCAGGGGCGGGGCACGCGGGCCGAGCUGUAGGCGCGCGCGGCGGCCGUGUGAGUUGCCGCCGAGCUCGCACAGCUCCGGGUCGCCUCCAAGCUCGCGCUACCGCCGCUGCAGUCCACCUCUGGGUUGUUUCCAAGCUCGCGUCGACAGGGAGGGAGGGGGGGAAGCUGGACGGCGGCGAGCGGCGCCAUGGUGA
rnacentral:rRNA from 1 species